rnacentral:lncRNA from 1 species
AUUUUUUUUUAAACACAACCAGAUCUCUGGAAGAUUCAGCUUGUAUUGGGUUGGGGAGAACAGCAUUUCAUUCACAGAUGUCCGCUGCUUACAAAGGUACCUGGAUGAAUGAAGGACACAUGCAAAUGCCUUGUGCUUGGCUCAUGUAAGCACCGUAGAUGGGUGCUGUCGCCAGUGUGAAUGUGAUUUGAUAGGCAGUGGGUUACCAUGGAGACAGGCUCACAUGCAGACAACUGGAUGAGCUGGUGGUUGGCUUAUGUAUGCGAGGGUUAUUUCCCAAGGAUACUAGUUGGAAAGCACCCUGGUUUCUUGUGUCAAAAUUAAUCCUGUCUGACUUUGGAAGAAGGUAAGAAACUUCAGUAAGUGGGCAAACUCAGGCUGGAUAGAACUAGGCUUAUGUCAUUGUCCUUAGACUGGCUGGUCACCAGAUACCUCCCUCCACUUGUCAAGAAGCAGCCUUCAUUCUCCUUACUCCCUUGUUUUAAUCUGGAACAUUUUACUGUAGACAUCUUUCUCUUUAGAUCCUAUUGCUCUUUCUUUUCUAAAAUGUGGGUGAGACUUGAUUUGCAUCUACACCUUUCCUUCCUUGGCCACAUAAAAUUCAUUUGAUUUGAAUGUUUUCCAUAAAUUAUAAGUGUAAUAAAAAUAUGUAUGCACUUCCCAGGAUAUUAAAAGAGGGUUGUGGUCAAAUCUCUGGGGGAAACUCCCACAAUAUGCUGUAAGUGUGGAGGCCGUACUAAAAGAUGACCCACAGGAAAGCCUUGCUAAGACUGUCUGUGCUCUCCACAAUAUGCUGUAAGUGUGGAGGCCGUACUAAAAGAUGACCCACAGGAAAGCCUUGCUAAGACUGUCUGUGCUCUCCACAAUAUGCUGUAAGUGUGGAGGCCGUACUAAAAGAUGACCCACAGGAAAGCCUUGCUAAGACUGUCUGUGCUCUCCACAAUAUGCUGUAAGUGUGGAGGCCGUACUAAAAGAUGACGCACAGGAAAGCCUUGCUAAGACUGUCUGUGCUCUGUUCAUUCUGCCUGUAGCAUCUUUGCGAAAUUUCUUCCUGUGUGAACACACCCCGGCAAAUACCCAGACCUUGUAGUAAGACCCAGUUCUUGCUGUUGCUGCUACCUGUGAUGCUUAUUCCCAGAGCACAAAAGCUUUGACUUUUGAGUUGGGCUUUAUUUGAAAGCUGACCAGUGGGAGAUGCUACAGGAAAUUCUUUUUGACUUAAACAUUGUUUUGGUUUCCUCCUCUUCCUCUUCCUCCUCUUCCCCCUCUUCCUCCUCCCCCUCUUCCUCUUUUUCUUUCUUGUGCUUGAUUUAAGAAUUAAAAAAUAAACUGGUUUCUUUAGCUGAGCAAAAUAAAAUUACUCAUCUUUUUUUUUUUAAUUACAAAGAAAUACUGACAAGAACAUCUCCCAGUUGAUAUUGGAGUUUUCCAUUUUAUAAUUUAAAAUAUGGGAGCUGAUUCCUAGGUGGGUCAGUUGUCCAAGAAAGAGUUGAGCAGUAUAUCCAGAGUUACUGUGUUUACGUAAGUUCCUGUCGCUUGGUAAGGUGUCUCAGUGCUUUUCAUUAGUUGUGCAAUACUGUUGUAGCCUCUGUUUAUGGAAUAAUUUAAAUGCAAUUUUCUUUGUUCUGUUGUCUAAGAGAUAGUUAUUUAUCUUGCUCUUUAUAGUAUUCUUGGGAACUAUUUUGUUACUAUGUAUUAGUGAUUUAUGCCCCUUUAUUAUUUAUUUAGAAGAAUAGUACCUUUGUAAUGAGUUAUUUGGUGGCAAUAUAUUUUGCUGCAAAGAAUAAAGAGAAUAUGACAGAAUUUUUUUUUUUGGCUUGGGUGCUUUAUAACUUUCUUGAAAGUUGGGAUAAAAUCUUAUUAAUUCCUUAAAAAAAUAAACUUACUCUUUAUCUCAGUAUUGAUUGUAUGCAAAAUAAGCUCUGUCUUUGAGAUAGCAUACCAUAAGAUAGUACUUCUUAUUUGAAAAUGUUAGUUUUAAAUGAAAUGUGAUAGGACACAAGGAAGGAUGAGAGGUCUGAGAUAAGAGUCUCCAAAGAGGUCCUUAGUAAAUAAUCUUUAGGUUUGAGGUUUGGUUUGGUUUUUUAGUUAAAAUUGGCCUUUUCAAAAAUGCAAAAUUUAUACUUACAACUUUGCUAAAUAUGAACAAAUAUGGAAGAAAUCCCUAAAAGAUACUUUCUGUCCAGGGAGAUGCGGGCUUCUGUCUGGUCUUGAGCAGUGCUUGACCUGUGAGCUGCAGGAGUACCUGCCCCUCACUAAACUCCUCUCCCAGACAGAAGAGUGAGUCUCAGGUCCCAGGUGGACAGUA